rnacentral:rRNA from 1 species
UUGGGCACUCUAAUGAGACUGCCGGUGACAAGCCGGAAGAAGUGGGGAUGACGUCAAGUCCUCAUGGCCCUUAUAGGUGGGGCUACACACGUCAUACAAUGGCUGGUACAAAGGGUUGCCAACCGCAGGGGGAGCCAAUCCCAUAAAGCCAGUCGUAGUCCGGAUCGUAGUCUGCAACUCGACUACGUGAAGUCGGAAUCGCUAGUAAUCGUGGAUCAGAAUGUCACGGUGAAUACGUUCCCGGGUCUU